AGGGUCAGAAGAAUGAUUCAUCUGCUGCCACUGAGCCUACUGAACAUAGUAUUGGGGGCGGAAACACCGGGAGGCUGUGGUUUGUUGCUGCUUGUGGUGACCAGACUUCUGGCUGGGUUGAAGAAAGCUCAGAUGAGGCUGAGCUUUCCUGCAUCUGAAAGAGAGGGCAGAUUUUCAAUGCCACCCUCCUUCCUGUGCAGCAUAUCAGAAAGAACACGAGACGAGAGACAGCGGUAAAGAUGACAAGGU